ensembl:lncRNA
CAUCAAUCCAGUUCUGCCUUCCCUCAGAAUAAACUCAUUCAAAAAUCAUUCCGCGAAUGGCGCACAGAUUCCCAGGCUUAGGACAGGCACAAGUGGUCCGUGUCUCUAACGCAAUCUUAUCUAAGGGAUCACCCCGUGACCAACUAACUCUUCACCAGGCACAGCCUAUUCAGAGCUGAAACCAGCCCCGAGGCAACCAAACGGAGUUCAUUUGACAAAUCACUGAAACAUGACUGGGGAUGAAUACAUUCUAUAGCGUAAGAAUGACUCAUUCAUUCAUCAUUCCACCUCAGGAAUUCUGACACCUGAUGUGGGCGUGGUCUUCCCCCACAACUGUCGUAAGCCUCCCCACCAGCACCAGGUUGAGACUCUCUGUUUUGUGCUCCGGUGGCCCCUGGGAAGCCUUCUGUAAAAUGUAUCACAGAUGGGUGAUGGCUAAUGCAAGCUUCCUCCUCCACGAAGCUGAGUGCUCCUGAGGGCACAUGAAGGAGCAUUUGCUCACUCCCGCCUCUGCAGCCUCCACCUGUCACUCGGAGAUGCUCAUCCACUGACUCAGCAGACCUCAGUUUCUUUAAAGUGAAGAAUUCAGAUUUGAUCAUCGCUAAAGUCUCAGUUUUAAGACUCUCCAUCAAGAAAAGCCAGAGAUUGUAACCUUUAGUAGUAUUUUGUGUGUGCAUGCACCUGUGUGUGUGAUUAAUUUCCCAAAGCAAUUCCAGGCAUUUGUGUUUAGUUUAAGAGUGAUUACACACACACACAUCAAAAAAAAAAAAAAAACUAUUUGCUUACUAGUUAAAAGAAAUUGAGCUGAAGUCUAUGGGUUUAAAGAUUGGUUGGUCUCACAGUAAGAUGUACACUUUUGGAGAUUCAUCAUUAUGUGCCCAAACACAAUAAUUGCUGAAGAACCAUGCAUUGCAAUUUGGCCCUAAUAACCACUCAGGCAGAUAAAGUGAGCAGUUAGCUACAAGAUAUCAGCACCUGGUAAGGACACGACAUUUUCCUGAGAAAUGAACUGCCAUUUUGUCAGUCUUCUAGUUUGAUGACCUCAGUCUUAUUAGUAUCUGAAGCUCCCUGGUAAUACCAUGACGGAUACAUUCAGCAUCAUGCAUACACACCAUACAAUAAACCCAACAGCUAAGAACGUAUAAAAGCAGGGUAAAAUGGGCUCCAGGUUUUAAACGGUUCCUUAGUUAUGUUUCCUGAACUUCCAUCAGCACUCUCACAUGUGGAGCCAAGUACAGACGACAGGAUGGAUCCCGUGCUGAACCAGCAUCAAAGGCUCAUCAAAGGAAUCAGCCAAAGUCCAUCUGCCCACAAACAUCUUCAUUAAACCACCAUUCACCAUGUCAGAAUUAGAGUUAUUCUUUGGUCCGGU